rnacentral:rRNA from 1 species
CAGCAGCCGCGGUAAUACGUAGGUGGCGAGCGUUGUCCGGAUUUAUUGGGCGUAAAGGGAGUGUAGGCGGUCUUUUAAGUCUGAUGUGAAAGCCCACGGCUCAACCGUGGAGGGUCAUUGGAAACUGGGAGACUUGAGUGCAGAAGAGGAGAGCGGAAUUCCAUGUGUAGUGGUGAAAUGCGUAGAUAUAUGGAGGAACACCAGUGGCGAAGGCGGCUCUCUGGUCUGUAACUGACGCUGAGGCUCGAAAGCGUGGGGAGCAAACAGGAUUAGAUACCCGGGUAGUCCCUGUCUCUUAUAC